rnacentral:rRNA from 1 species
GACGAACGCUGGCGGCGUGCUUAACACAUGCAAGUCGAACGGUAAGGCCCUUCGGGGUACACGAGUGGCGAACGGGUGAGUAACACGUGGGUGAUCUGCCCUGCACUUCGGGAUAAGCCUGGGAAACUGGGUCUAAUACCGGAUAGGACCACUGCCUGCAUGGGUGGUGGUGGAAAGCUUUUGCGGUGUGGGAUGGGCCCGCGGCCUAUCAGCUUGUUGGUGGGGUGAUGGCCUACCAAGGCGAUGACGGGUAGCCGGCCUGAGAGGGUGACCGGCCACACUGGGACUGAGAUACGGCCCAGACUCCUACGGGAGGCAGCAGUGGGGAAUAUCGCACAAUGGGCGCAAGCCUGAUGCAGCGACGCCGCGUGAGGGAUGACGGCCUUCGGGUUGUAAACCUCUUUCAGCACCGACGAAGCGCAAGUGACGGUAGGUGCAGAAGAAGGACCGGCCAACUACGUGCCAGCCGCCGCGGUAA